AAAUUGUUGAAACACACAGAAAAAACGGACAGAAAACAGAAAGCAACGAGCAAUCUGAUUUCCUCUUCUGUUAUCGCUCAACAUUGGCUAUAAAUUGCAUUUUCUUCCUCUCAGAAUUUCCAUUCGACUUCUGAGUUCUCCUCCUUUCUUGUGCAUUGCUUUAAACUACAAACAAAGUAACCGUAAGUGUGAUUUGCUGCCGAACUUUGUGUUCGCUGAAAUACUGGGGUUUGAAGUACCGCUACACCAGUGUGUAAUUCGUUCUAUCCUGCGAAGAAAUAAUUCAUAACCUUGGGUACUAUGAGGGGAUUAAAUUCCUUAAGGAAACACUGUGAAUUCAUUGGGCUCGAAUUAAUUACUGUUUCAUUUAUAUUUACGUUUAUAUGCUAACGUUCUUUUCUCUAGAAUUAUUAUUUACAAAUACAAACUUAAUUUAACAGAACUAAUUGAAACUUAGAACUAACAAGGAUUAAACAUGAACCAAGAUAUAAAUAUCAUCUAAGUGUACGGAUUAUUUCAAACACAUAUCAACAGACUAUUCAUUCAACAAUUUUAUAAACCCAAACUAAAGCAUUACUAAAAGAACUGGAAGAGAAGAUGAACCUCAAGUGAUGAUUUUUUUUCUUUUUGAAGCUCGAUCAAGCAGACAACAUUGGUUCCAAAGUUUGCAAAAGAGAAACCAGCAAAGAAGGAGCUCAAUAGCGACCUCGACUUCGACUCGAAAACCUUGACACAACUCGGCAAUUUUGAAUGAUGUUUUGGGGGCUGUUUUAGCUAGGUUAGUCAGCUAGUUUUUGUGCUGAUUUACAGCUGCAUUUUUGCUAUUUUCGCAGCUGGUUUGCUGUAUUUUUGAGGUAUUUAAGAGGUUAAGAUUUGGAGAAGAAAAUAGCUAACAUGGUAAAAAUGUCAAGAUGACCAUGGGGGAAGAUGAGAGCUCGUGUGCAUUUGAGCUACUGAACUUGGAGCCAAACAGAUCUAUGAGAGGCCACUGCUGCUCGAAUUCUCUUCUGUCCGAGAGAGAGUGACGAUGGAGAUCCCCUUUAGGGAAGUGCGGCUGUUUCUAGGGGUGUAGCCAUUUUUAGUUCUUCUCUGUUUUUCAAAUGCAUAUGAAGAAACUGAAAUCAAAAACAGAAAAUCUUUGUUCUGUUUUCUUAUGGGAAUGAAGGCUCAAAAAUUAGUAAAGAAAUAAUGAAACAAAACUCCCAAAAAGCCAUGGAAACUCUUGAAAAUCCCUCCUUUAAUUGUGAUUGUGUGCAUUUCUGAUUUCUCACGUCCCUCUGCUUUUUCGUUUUCCAGCCUCCCCUGUAUUUUGCUUUGUUUUUCGUCCUCCCACAGAUCCCUUUCUCUCUCGUUUUUUACCAGAUUCUCCCGUUUCUUUCUGUUCGUUUCCUGCCCAGAA
rnacentral:lncRNA from 1 species